UUACUCCUACGGGAGGCAGCAGUGGGGAAUAUUGCGCAAUGGGGGAAACCCUGACGCAGCGACGCCGCGUGUGGGAAGAAGGCCUUCGGGUCGUAAACCACUGUCAAGAGGGAAGAAACGUAUGGGCUCGAACAGGGCCUGUGCCUGACGGUACCUCUGGAGGAAGCACCGGCUAACUCCGUGCCAGCAGCCGCGGUAAUAA
rnacentral:rRNA from 1 species